UACACGGGGCGAUAACGCAAAUUUUGCCUAAAAAGUCGGGCAUCGCGGUAGAAGCAAUCGUUGACGACUACCCAGAGACAAUUCCUAACUUUCAAAAUGUUGACUUCGUACGUCAUUAUUUUGUCUUUACCCCGCUGUUAUCUGACAGAAAAAUGUGCCUCUUACCGACGCGACUGAGACUAAAUGAUAAGCAUAGCUGAACAAAAAAUAUGUAAUAAGUAAUAAUGUGUCUUGUUUUUUGUUGUUUAUUUGAAACAAAUAACAUAAAUUAAUAAAUUAUCCCACGGCGCGAAACAAAACAUCCGCACCAGACCGUUUCAUUGUAUUAAUAUUAGAUACUUUUUAGCCUGAAUAGUUGUUAAUUGGCGCUAAAUCAAUAAUGAUAGUGAAGAUAAAACUCGCUGAAUUUUUGUCGAUUCUGGGUCUCUUUAGAAUCGGUUUUAACCAGAGAUAAAAAAGACUGAAAAGAACAGAUAAACGCGCGAGAUUCUGGAUCAGUGAAGCGAGUGUCGCACGUGACGACGACACGGUGUGACGACAUCUGGUGAAACGUCCACAAAUAAUUUUAAGAUUUUUAAAGAUGUCCUCUGAAACACUCGUAAUAAUAUUGUCAGGCGUUUAUAUAUUUAACGGCUUCAAUAGAGCAUGAGGUAAUUUUAAUGUCAAUAAAAA